CUUCCGCUGCAAUCAUUAAUGAGCAGGAUGACUCUCCCUGCUGUUUACCCGAUGAACAGCUGCGUAAAAUGUCCUUUCUGUCAUCACUGAGUCAACGGGGUGUGAAUGUGUCUUAUCUCUAUAGGUUAGAGAGCAGAAGGAAGAAGAGAAACUAGGAAAAUCUACCAGUUUCAGAGUGGAAAAACUCGCAUCAGAGUGGGAAAUGUUUAAUUUUCAACCUCACUGAGGCAAUCCGGAGAACUUUAUCUCACCUUAAUGCGCUGCAAGUACCGACACACCUCGGCGGCUGCCUCAGGAAUGUGAACCGGGUAGAACUGGGCUGUUAGUUCGCCUUUUUUUUUUUAUCACAGCCACUGACAACAAAUACAGGAAGUAAAGGAAGAUUCAAGGGAGGGAAAAAAAUGUGACAAGUGUACGUAGAGAGAAAAGUCUAGCUAAGAAGGCGUGGAGGGUUAACACAGUUUCAGUCCCGGUUCCGGUCAUACCGUCGGAGGAGUCGAUUGGUUUCACUAGUUGAGAUUUUUACCCAUUAGAAGACGGAGAUCGGUUUUAACCGGCAGAAGGAAUCGCUCAAUCACCGAUCCUGCUUUAUUGAUCUGAUUAUUGGACUUCAGAAGUGGAUCCCUGUCAAAACUCACCAGCAGAGAGAAUCACCGAUCCUGUUUUAUUGAUCUGUUGAUUGGACUUCAGAAGGGGAUUCCUGUCAAAAAUCACCAGAUAUGUCGCAGGAGGAUACACAGAUAAAUAUGCCACUGAAUUCCAUACCUGGCUCAGCUGAAGACCACAGCCAACAAAGUAUGGACGAAGAUCAAAUAAACAACCACAGGAAACUGGCCAUUUGCAGCAUCAUCUGCGGUUGCUCCUGUGUGGGAUACAAAGCACUGGAAAAUUCAUUCCAGGUUGACCAACAGAAGAACAGAGAACAAAAGCUAAAGUAUUCAAAAGAGGCGAAAAAGUACAGCAUAAUAUCCAUUGUCAUGUUGUUCGGGAUCCUUAUCUUAAUUCCUGUGCUGCUAGUUUUCAUCUCAUAUCUUCUGACGUUGAAGGACUAAAUGACUUCGGCAGAAAAACAAAA